rnacentral:rRNA from 1 species
GCUUGCUGCUUCGCUGACGAGUGGCGGACGGGUGAGUAAUGUCUGGGAAACUGCCCGAUGGAGGGGGAUAACUACUGGAAACGGUAGCUAAUACCGCAUAACGUCGCAAGACCAAAGAGGGGGACCUUCGGGCCUCUUGCCAUCGGAUGUGCCCAGAUGGGAUUAGCUUGUUGGUGAGGUAACGGCUCACCAAGGCGACGAUCCCUAGCUGGUCUGAGAGGAUGACCAGCCACACUGGAACUGAGACACGGUCCAGACUCCUACGGGAGGCAGCAGUGGGGAAUAUUGCACAAUGGGCGCAAGCCUGAUGCAGCCAUGCCGCGUGUAUGAAGAAGGCCUUCGGGUUGUAAAGUACUUUCAGCGGGGAGGAAGGGGUUAAGGUUAAUAACCUUAGCCAUUGACGUUACCCGCAGAAGAAGCACCGGCUAACUCCGUGCCAGCAGCCGCGGUAAUACGGAGGGUGCAAGCGUUAAUCGGAAUUACUGGGCGUAAAGCGCACGCAGGCGGUCUGUCAAGUCGGAUGUGAAAUCCCCGGGCUCAACCUGGGAACUGCAUUCGAAACUGGCAGGCUUGAGUCUCGUAGAGGGGGGUAGAAUUCCAGGUGUAGCGGUGAAAUGCGUAGAGAUCUGGAGGAAUACCGGUGGCGAAGGCGGCCCCCUGGACGAAGACUGACGCUCAGGUGCGAAAGCGUGGGGAG